UACGGAGGGUGCAAGCGUUAUCCGGAUUUAUUGGGUUUAAAGGGUGCGUAGGCGGUCAAUUAAGUCAGCGGUGAAAGUUUUCAGCUUAACUGGAAAAAUGCCGUUGAUACUGAUAGGCUAGAAUAUGGUUGCUGUGGGUGGAAUGUGUGGUGUAGCGGUGAAAUGCUUAGAUAUCACACAGAAUAUCAAUUGCGAAGGCAGCUCACAAAGCCAUUAUUGACGCUGAGGCACGAAAGUGUGGGGAUCAAACAGG
rnacentral:rRNA from 1 species